GUCAGUUGCCAUGGUAACACCCACGAGGCCAAGGUCCUCUAGUCUAUUAAUGAGAAGUUGGAAAAAACAUCACUGUCAAGCGCAUGGAACACAAGGAGCACUGGACAGUCCAAUGCUGUGAGCCGCUGGCAGAGGAAGGAACUACGCCACGUCCCAUGACGUCUCACUAAGCGAUACAGUCAGGGCAUGAUGUCAUCUGCCACACCAUUGCCCUGGUAACCGGUCUGUAUGAGCGUGUUUGUGAGCACAAGGGGGGAAAAAGAAGAGACUAACCUUUUCAAUGAAAGAGUGUGAACAUGGUUGAAAAAAGGGCGAAUCAAAGAAUUACUGGAUGGCGUAUUUCAGUUGGAGGAGUCGUCUUAGAUCUGUGCCUUUUAAUGCUGACUGCCGCAAAUCGUUUGAGGCCGACUACAAAAGCAAACUGGCACUAAACUUUUUUUUACCCCCUGAAGGAGAAAAGGAAGAACUGUUUGGGAUAACUUCACUCUGGAGGGGGGGCGG